rnacentral:rRNA from 1 species
ACGGGAGGCAGCAGUGGGGGAUAUUGCACAAUGGGGGAAACCCUGAUGCAGCGACGCCGCGUGAGUGAUGAAGUAUUUCGGUAUGUAAAGCUCUAUCAGCAGGAAAGAUAAUGACGGUACCUGACUAAGAAGCACCGGCUAAAUACGUGCCAGCAGCCGCGGUAAUACGUAUGGUGCAAGCGUUAUCCGGAUUUACUGGGUGUAAAGGGAGCGUAGACGGCUGUGUAAGUCUGAAGUGAAAGCCCCGGGCUCAACCCGGGAACUGCUUUGGAAACUAUAUAGCUAGAGUGCAGGAGAGGUAAGUGGAAUUCCUAGUGUAGCGGUGAAAUGCUUAGAUAUUAGGAGGAACACCAGUGGCGAAGGCGGCUUACUGGACUGUAACUGACGUUGAGGCUCGAAAGCGUGGGGAGCAAACAGGAUUAGAUACCCUGGUA